GGCGAACGCUGGCGGCAGGCCUAACACAUGCAAGUCGAGCGGACCUUUCGGGGUCAGCGGCGGACGGGUGAGUAACGCGUGGGAAUAUGCCCUUCUCUACGGAAUAGUCCUGGGAAACUGGGGGUAAUACCGUAUACGCCCUUUGGGGGAAAGAUUUAUCGGGGAAGGAUUAGCCCGCGUUGGAUUAGGUAGUUGGUGGGGUAAUGGCCUACCAAGCCGACGAUCCAUAGCUGGUUUGAGAGGAUGAUCAGCCACACUGGGACUGAGACACGGCCCAGACUCCUACGGGAGGCAGCAGUGGGGAAUCUUAGACAAUGGGGGCAACCCUGAUCUAGCCAUGCCGCGUGAGUGAUGAAGGCCUUAGGGUUGUAAAGCUCUUUCAGCUGGGAAGAUAAUGACGGUACCAGCAGAAGAAGCCCCGGCUAACUCCGUG
rnacentral:rRNA from 1 species